rnacentral:rRNA from 1 species
CAGUAGCCGCGGUAAUACAGAGGGUGCAAGCGUUAAUCGGAAUUACUGGGCGUAAAGCGCGCGUAGGUGGUUUGUUAAGUUGGAUGUGAAAUCCCCGGGCUCAACCUGGGAACUGCAUCCAAAACUGGCAAGCUAGAGUAUGGUAGAGGGUGGUGGAAUUUCCUGUGUAGCGGUGAAAUGCGUAGAUAUAGGAAGGAACACCAGUGGCGAAGGCGACCACCUGGACUGAUACUGACACUGAGGUGCGAAAGCGUGGGGAGCAAACAGGAUUAGAUACCCGCGUAGUCCCUGUCUCUUAUAU